UGAUUAUUAGCUCAGUCAGUUGAGCACAGCGCUAACAUCGCUAAGGUUGCGGGUUCGAUUCCCGUUCAG
rfam:Apaloderma vittatum contig27516, whole genome shotgun sequence.